CGUUUCUCUGUAUGUGACUCGCUGUUUUUAUCGCGAUCCGAUCGUUUAGAAGGGUGGUUGGUCUGUUUUUUCCCGCUAUUUUCCGCGAAGGAAUCGCAACGAUUUGGGUGCGUUGGUUGCUGUGUGCCGUUAUUCUGUGCUUGGUUGGAAACGUUUAUCUUCCAACUUUAGGGUUUUGUUGUGGGAGUUUGCAAACCCUUUCUGGGCCAGUGUAGCCUUUGUCAAUCAAAUGCUUUGCUGAAACAUCCAAUAAGAAGAAUAAAAUAACUAUGAUUGCAGAGCCAUUGGAGAGAGGACUUGUUGAGGACAUUGAGAAUGUAUAUAAGCUACAAUGUUCGUUUCUGCAUUGCAGUGAACGCUUAAAGGAAAAUGUGCUCUUAUGGGAUAUUCCAUGUUCAAGUAAUUAUACAAAUGAAGCACUGGGAUGACUGUCAAUGAGGAAUACUAGACUAGCCAUUUUUGUAUAUCAAUGACAAGGCAUUUGACAAUGUCUUUUCUGUAAGUCAUAUAAACUUAGACAACUUUGUAAAAAUAUUUGCUCCAUUUUCUACAUGUUUAUCUUAGUCUUUGGUUAUUUA